AUUGAACGCUGGCGGCAUGCCUUACACAUGCAAGUCGAACGGCAGCACGGACUUCGGUCUGGUGGCGAGUGGCGAACGGGUGAGUAAUGCAUCGGAACGUACCCGGUAGUGGGGGAUAACUACCCGAAAGGGUGGCUAAUACCGCAUAUACUGUGCGCAGGAAAGCAGGGGACCUUCGGGCCUUGUGCUACCGGAGCGGCCGAUGUCAGAUUAGGUAGUUGGUGGGGUAACGGCCUACCAAGCCUGCGAUCUGUAGCGGGUCUGAGAGGAUGAUCCGCCACACUGGGACUGCGACACGGCCCAGACUCCUACGGGAGGCAGCAGUGGGGAAUUUUGGACAAUGGGCGCAAGCCUGAUCCAGCCAUGCCGCGUGAGUGAAGAAGGCCUUCGGGUUGUAAAGCUCUUUCGGACGGAAAGAAAUCGCGCAGGCUAAUACCCUGUGCGGAUGACGGUACCGUCAUAAGAAGCACCGGCUAACUACGUGCCAGCAGCCGCCGCCG
rnacentral:rRNA from 1 species